rnacentral:ncRNA from 1 species
ACUGCCGCCGCGGGAGAGCCCCCGUGAGGCACACGGGGCGCCGAAGGAGCAACUUCUCCCUCAGAAUCUCUCAGGCUCACGUACCGCAGUGGUCAG